AUGGAGAUGAUAUUUCCGCCCGGAUUUUUUACUGUUAUGGUGCAUUUGGUUCUUCAUCUAGCAACAGAGGCAAAAAUAGGUGGCCCUGUGGCCUACCGUUCAAUGUGGUUUUUGGAAAGGUAUCUCUGUGUCCUGAAGUCAUAUGUGCGUAACAGAGCACAUCCAGAAGGAUCUAUCGCUGAAGCACAUCUUGCAGACGAGUGCAUGACGUUUUGCUCAAGAUAUAUUGAUGGUUUCGCCACCAAGCAUAAUCGGCCUUCAAGGAAUGACGAUGACGAUGAGGCGGUUGAUGUUGAACAAGGAUCAACUCUGUUUCCUUCGGUAGGAAAACCACUUGGAAAGCCUGGCAAUUAUGUACUUAGAGGGAUGACUAAAUUCCAAGCACAUAGAUAUGUGUUGUUCAACUGCUCAGAUGUCAACCCAUUCCUUCGAGCUCACGCUGAUGAGAUCACUAGCGAGCGUGGUGUCUCAAACAUGGUCGAGUCCAUCCAACAUGAUAAGUUCAACGACUGGUUCAAAGCUCAUAUAAUUAAAUUGGAGAAGGAAAAUGGUAUUGGUAGUAUUAAUAAUGAUAUUAGAUGGCUAGCACGUGGCCCAGUAGAUGCAGCAAAAAGGUACCGCGCUUACAACUCCAGAGGAUAUCGGUUUAGGCCUAACCGAUUAGACAGGGUGAGUCAAAAUAGUGGAGUGGUGGUACAUGCCAAAACAUCUACAUAUGAUGCACCAGGUGAUGCGACCCCUGUUUUAGGUGAUGUGACUUACUAUGGCAGGAUAAUUGAUAUUAUUCAGUUGAACUACUCUGGACAAUUUUCGGUGGAUUUAUUUAAGUGUGAAUGGGUUGAUAUUUCUGAAAAAGGAAUUAAGAAGGACAAGUAUGGCUACACACUUGUUAACUUCUCACAUUUGAUGCACAAAGGAGACAAGAUUGAGCAUGAGCCUUUUAUUUUGCCUAACCAAGCCGAUCAAGUGUUUUACCUAGAAGACGAACUGAGCCCAGGUUGGUCAGUGGUGAUGCAGAAUAAACUACCUAGAGAUAGAUGUGACACUGGAAAUGAUGAAUGCACACGAGACGUAGAAGCUGAGCCAUUCCAUGUUUCUCACCUCACGGAUAUGUUUAAAGCGAAAAGGAAAGAUCAACACUGGGUAAGGUCUGAUAUUGAGGGAACAAUUGUGGAUGCUAAUGAUAAUUCUUUGAUCGAUGAAGAACGGUGA
rnacentral:rRNA from 1 species